GCGGCACGCUUUUUUCUCGCUUUUUUCAUGCGGUAAUUUUCAGUUAUUUUUAUUCGUUUUCUGUUCGAAAUUUCACGAUUUCGCUCGAUUUUGUUCGUUUUUUCGGAUAAAAAAGUGUCUAUUUUUAAAUGAAAAAUAACCAAGUUUUAUCAGUUUUUACUUGAAAAAAUGCUUCGUUUGUCUCUUUUUCUGUAAUAUACGAAGCAAAACGUU
ensembl:snoRNA Y65B4A.10 ncRNA